GGCAGGCUAGAGUCUUGUAGAGGGGGGUAGAAUUUCAGGUGUAGCGGUGAAAUGCGUGGAGAUCUGAAGGAAUACCAGUGGCGAAGGCGGCCCCCUGGACAAAGACUGACGCUCAGAUGCGAAAGCGUGGGUAGCAAACAGGAUUAGAUACCCUGGUAGUCCACGCCGUAAACGCUGUCUACUUGGAGGUUGAGGUUUAGACUUUGGCUUUCGGCGCUAACGCAUUAAGUAGACCGCCUGGGGAGUACGGCCGCAAGGUUAAAACUCAAAUGAAUUGACGGGGGCCCGCACAAGCGGUGGAGCAUGUGGUUUAAUUCGAUGCAACGCGAAGAACCUUACCUACUCUUGACAUCCAGCGAAUCCUUUAGAGAUAGAGGAGUGCCUUCGGGAGCGCUGAGACAGGUGCUGCAUGGCUGUCGUCAGCUCGUGUUGUGAAAUGUUGGGUUAAGUCCCGCAACGAGCGCAACCCUUAUCCUUGUUUGCCAGCACAUAAUGGUGGGAACUCCAGGGAGACUGCCGGUGAUAGACCGGAGGAAGGUGGGGACGACGUCAAGUCAUCAUGGCCCUUACGAGUAGGGCUACACACGUGCUACAAUGGCAGAUACAGAGGGCAGCGAAGCUGCGAAGUGGAGCGAAUCCCUUAAAGUUUGUCGUAGUCCGGAUUGGAGUCUGCAACUCGACUCCAUGAAGUCGGAAUCGCUAGUAAUCGUGGAUCAGAAUGCCACGGUGAAUACGUUCCCGGGCCUUGUACACACCGCCCGU
rnacentral:rRNA from 1 species